rnacentral:rRNA from 1 species
CUGAAAGCCUGGUGCUUGCACCGGGUGGAUGAGUGGCGAACGGGUGAGUAACACGUGAGUAACCUGCCCCUGACUUCGGGAUAAGCCCGGGAAACUGGGUCUAAUACCGGAUACGACUGCCGGACGCAUGUCUGGUGGUGGAAAGUUUUUUCGGUUGGGGAUGGGCUCGCGGCCUAUCAGUUUGUUGGUGAGGUAAUGGCUCACCAAGACGACGACGGGUAGCCGGCCUGAGAGGGCGACCGGCCACACUGGGACUGAGACACGGCCCAGACUCCUACGGGAGGCAGCAGUGGGGAAUAUUGCACAAUGGGGGAAACCCUGAUGCAGCGACGCAGCGUGCGGGAUGACGGCCUUCGGGUUGUAAACCGCUUUCAGCAGGGAAGAAGCGCAAGUGACGGUACCUGCAGAAGAAGUACCGGCUAACUACGUGCCAGCAGCCGCGGUAAUACGUAGGGUACGAGCGUUGUCCGGAAUUAUUGGGCGUAAAGAGCUCGUAGGUGGUUGGUCACGUCUGCUGUGGAAACGCAACGCUUAACGUUGCGCGUGCAGUGGGUACGGGCUGACUAGAGUGCAGUAGGGGAGUCUGGAAUUCCUGGUGUAGCGGUGAAAUGCGCAGAUAUCAGGAGGAACACCGGUGGCGAAGGCGGGACUCUGGGCUGUAACUGACACUGAGGAGCGAAAGCAUGGGGAGCGAACAGGAUUAGAUACCCUGGUAGUCCAUGCCGUAAACGUUGGGCACUAGGUGUGGGGGGGCAUUCCACGUUCUCCGCGCCGUAGCUAACGCAUUAAGUGCCCCGCCUGGGGAGUACGGUCGCAAGGCUAAAACUCAAAGGAAUUGACGGGGGCCCGCACAAGCGGCGGAGCAUGCGGAUUAAUUCGAUGCAACGCGAAGAACCUUACCAAGGCUUGACAUACACCGGACCGUCCUGGAAACAGGUCCUCUUCUUUGAAGCUGGUGUACAGGUGGGUGCAUGGUUGUCGUCAGCUCGUGU